CCUACGGGGGGCUGCAGUGGGGAAUAUUGGACAAUGGGCGCAAGCCUGAUCCAGCAAUACCGCGUGUGUGAAGAAGGCCUGAGGGUUGUAAAGCACUUUUAAUCGGGAGGAAUAGCGGUCGGUUAAUACCCGGUCGUCUGACAUUACCGAUAGAAAAAGCACCGGCUAACUCCGUGCCAGCAGCCGCGGUAAUACGGAGGGUGCAAGCGUGGAUCGGAAUUAUGCGUAGUAAAGCGUGCGAAGGCGGUUGGAAAGCCCCGGGCUUAACCUGGGAACGGCAUUUGAAACUGAUCGACUAGAGUUGGGUAGAGGGGAGUGGAAUUUCAGGUGUAGCGGUGAAAUGCGUAGAUAUCUGAAGGAACACCAGUGGCGAAGGCGGCUCCCUGGACCCAAACUGACGCUGAGGCACGAAAGCGUGGGUAGCAAACAGGAUUAGAUACCCUAGUAGUC
rnacentral:rRNA from 1 species